UCGUGUCGUGAGAUGUUCGGGUUAAGUCCCGCAACGAGCGCAACCCUCGACCUUAGUUGCCAGCAUUCAGUUGGGCACUCUAAGGUGACUGCCGGCUAAAAGUCGGAGGAAGGUGGGGAUGACGUCAAAUCAUCAUGCCCUUAUGACCUGGGCUACACACGUGCUACAAUGGGCGGUACAAAGGGUCGCGAACCCGCGAGGGGGAGCCAAUCCCAAAAAGCCGCUCUCAGUUCGGAUUGCAGGCUGCAACUCGCCUGCAUGAAGCCGGAAUCGCUAGUAAUCGCGGAUCAGCAUGCCGCGGUGAAUACGUUCCCGGGCCUU
rnacentral:rRNA from 1 species